AACCCAUGGUGAGGGCACUUUCUCAGUAAGUCUUUUUAUCUCUCCCAUGCAUCGUAAAGUGUUUCUAAAUCCAUCUGCACAAUAGAAGAGAUAUCAUUGCGUAAUUU
rnacentral:snoRNA from 1 species